AUAUCAGCUGACGCAUUCAACUUUGGGGUUGCCAUAUGUCGAAAAUGAUUCAGUCAGAACUGGAAUUGAUACUUAUUUUUUCCAGUGUAAUGUUACGAAUUCUAAUUGGAGGGUGCCAAACACGAAUUUUAAAUAUUUUUAUAACAUUCACUGUAAAGGCGAAAAAAAAUAUUUUAACAGCAUAUAUUUAAACAAACUAUUUAAAAUAUUGUCAUUUUCUAAAUAUACCGAAUUACCAUAUAACGUAUAACAAUAAGACAUUUACAUAGUCUGCACUCACGAUGACUCCCAUCUUUCAUGUAAAAUGCGUUAGAGUAAAGGUUUUAAGUUUUAACAUAUACGGUCACGCUGAUAUUCACACCCUUUUGUCAAAAGCCCCGAUUAUCGAAUUCUUGGAACCGCAGGUGCAACGAGAUUAUUUCCAGGCAACAGAGCUACCUGCUGGCAAAAUGAAUACACAAAGCAGCUGCGUUUUGUUCGCCAUUUUAUACAAUAAUUUAUAAUUGUUGUGUUCAGUAGUCUGUAAUACAUUAUGCAAAUUUCGUAUUCAAAUAAUUUCAUUUAAAGAUAAGACUCAAAAUGACGGAUGCUGCGUGAUUCAGACAUCAAGCUGCUAAAUCUGUGUGUAUGCACCAAUGUUUCUGCUGUGGUGGCGGCGGCAAUGAAAAUGUGCUGCAAAUGGGUGCCGUUGGGGUGACAGUGAUGACGACACCUGGCUGACAACGGAUCAGCGAUCAGCUGCUGCUUCUGAUCUCUUGCAAUUUUUAGUUUGUAUGGUGUCUCUGUGUUGUUAUUAUAUUUAAACAUAAAAUUGUGUACAUAUAGUUUUUUUUUCUUUUUUGUAUUGUUUUUAAUAUUUUUAUCAAUAGUUCUAGAAAAGGCUAAAACAAUAUGGAUGUUGUGGUUGUUGUUGUUUUCGCACACACAAAUAUCGAAAGAUGGUCUUCGUGUUUGUGUUUCCCCGUUUUAGCGUUUAAUGUUUAGAUUUGUUGUUUGUUGCUUGUUGACGACGCAGUUUUUAUUCUUCUUGAUGUUUACCGCUGUUCUUCAAUUGGUUGGAUAUUGAUUGGGUUUCUUUAGGAAGAGGACAAAGCGCCAACCAGACAGCCCGGCUGAUGUUGCUGCUAAGGCUGAUGAUGGUAUUUGACUGGUU